rnacentral:rRNA from 1 species
GACGAACGCUGGCGGCGUGCUUAACACAUGCAAGUCGAACGAAGUGGCGCACGGGUGAGUAACGCGUAAUCCACCUGCCCUUCAGAGGGGGACAACAGUUGGAAACGACUGCUAAUACCGCAUACAGAAGGAGGGGCUUGCGUCUGCUUAGCUAGUUGGCGGGGUCACGGCCCACCAAGGCGAUGAUCAGUAGCCGGUCUGAGAGGAUUAACGGCCACAUUGGGACUGAGACACGGCCCAGACUCCUACGGGAGGCAGCAGUGGGGAAUCUUCCGCAAUGGACGAAAGUCUUACGGAGCAACGCCGCGUGAGUGAUGACGGGCUUCGGGUUGUAAAGCUCUGUUAAUCGGGACGCGGUACCGGAAUAGAAAGCCACGGCUAACUACGUGCCAGCCGCCGCGGUAAUUC